rnacentral:misc_RNA from 1 species
AGAACUUGAUGAUUCAUGAAGCAAAUGAACCAAUCUCUGCAACCCCUUUUCUUGAAUUAACAAAUCCCGAUAAUACUCACCAGAGGAAGCAAGAAUCGCAAUGCAAUUUGCUGCCUUUUCUUGUGCUGAUGGUUUGCCUGAAACCAUUAACUGUAAAAGAAUAGGAAUUGCAGCUUCUUCCGCUAACGCAAUUCGAACAUCUUCAUUUGUAGAUACAUUCUUGAUAGCCCCAACACCAUGAAGUUG